rnacentral:rRNA from 1 species
GACGAACGCUGGCGGCGUGCUUAACACAUGCAAGUCGAACGGAAAGGCCCUGCUUUUGUGGGGUGCUCGAGUGGCGAACGGGUGAGUAACACGUGAGUAACCUGCCCUUGACUUUGGGAUAACUUCAGGAAACUGGGGCUAAUACCGGAUAGGAGCUCCUGCUGCAUGGUGGGGGUUGGAAAGUUUCGGCGGUUGGGGAUGGACUCGCGGCUUAUCAGCUUGUUGGUGGGGUAGUGGCUUACCAAGGCUUUGACGGGUAGCCGGCCUGAGAGGGUGACCGGCCACAUUGGGACUGGGAUACGGCCCAGACUCCUACGGGAGGCAGCAGUGGGGAAUAUUGCACAAUGGGCGGAAGCCUGAUGCAGCAACGCCGCGUGCGGGAUGACGGCCUUCGGGUUGGAAACCGCUUUCGCCUGUGACGAAGCGUGAGUGACGGUAAUGGGUAAAGAAGCACCGGCUAACUACGUG